CUUCAAGAUAUUUCACUUGGGAGACAGAGUGUAUUUUCAGUUGAUAACAAACGCCUUUCUGUCAAUUUCCAGCCUCUUCUUCAUCCAAGGCUUUACAUUUUCGUACCUCGCCAACGUAAAGGACGAAGUGCUUCCUGUAACAAAAUGCCUGCGAACCUACAUGGUCACUCUUGUUCGCCGAUAUGUAAGGCUGACGGUUCCAGUUGUGAUAGUCGUAUUCUUCGCUUUCCUGCUCCCUACUAUGGGCGAAGGGCCCGCCGACCAAGAGCUGUUUUCGAAGCAGAUCGGAAGGUGUGCAGAAAACUGGUGGACAGUGAUCACGCACACGAACAAUUUCAACGCACUUAAU